UUUUGAGAGAUAGUUUCUCACUCUGUCACCCAAGCUGAGUGCAGUGGGAAGAUCAUAGCUCACUGUACCCUUCAACUCCUAGGCUCGAGUGGUCCUCCUGCAUUAGCCUCCUGAAUAUCUGGGACUACAAGCGUGCACCACCACGCC